ACUCCUACGGGAGGCAGCAGUGGGGAAUAUUGCACAAUGGGCGUAAGCCUGAUGCAGCAACGCCGCGUGAGGGACGACGGCCUUCGGGUUGUAAACCUCUUUUAGUAGGGAAGAAGCGAAAGUGACGGUACCUGCAGAAAAAGCACCGGCUAACUACGUGCCAGCAGCCGCGGUAAUACGUAGGGUGCAAGCGUUAUCCGGAAUUAUUGGGCGUAAAGAGCUCGUAGGCGGUUUGUCGCGUCUGCUGUGAAAACUGGAGGCUCAACCUCCAGCCUGCAGUGGGUACGGGCAGACUAGAGUGCGGUAGGGGAGAUUGGAAUUCCUGGUGUAGCGGUGGAAUGCGCAGAUAUCAGGAGGAACACCGAUGGCGAAGGCAGAUCUCUGGGCCGUAACUGACGCUGAGGAGCGAAAGCAUGGGGAGCGAACAGGAUUAGAUACCCUGGUAGUCCAUGCCGUAAACGUUGGGAACUAGAUGUAGGGACCAUUCCACGGUUUCUGUGUCGCAGCUAACGCAUUAAGUUCCCCGCCUGGGGAGUACGGCCGCAAGGCUAAAACUCAAAGGAAUUGACGGGGGCCCGCACAAGCGGCGGAGCAUGCGGAUUAAUUCGAUGCAACGCGAAGAACCUUACCAAGGCUUGACAUAUACCGGAAAAGGCUAGAAAUAGUCUCCCCGCAAGGUCGGUAUACAGGUGGUGCAUGGUUGUCGUCAGCUCGUGUCGUGAGAUGUUGGGUUAAGUCCCGCAACGAGCGCAACCCUCGUUCUAUGUUGCCAGCACGUAAUGGUGGGAACUCAUAGGAGACUGCCGGGGUCAACUCGGA
rnacentral:rRNA from 1 species